rnacentral:rRNA from 1 species
AGGUAAUAGUCCUGUAGGUAAAAAAUUAAGUCUUUUAGGUCUAAUCCAGAGUACCACGAGACACGUGAAACCUUGUGGGAAGCAGGGAGGACCACCUCCCAAGGCUAAAUACUAACUGGUGACCGAUAGUGAAGCAGUACCGUGAGGGAAAGGUGAAAAGAACCCCGGGAGGGGAGUGAAAUAGAACCUGAAACCGUAUGCUUACAAACAGUGGGAGCACGAUAAUGUGUGACCGCGUGCUUAUUGUAGAACGAGCCAG